rnacentral:rRNA from 1 species
CAGUCGCCGCGGUAAUACGGAGGGUGCAAGCGUUAAUCGGAAUUACUGGGCGUAAAGCGCACGCAGGCGGUCUGACAAGUCAGAUGUGAAAUCCCCGGGCUUAACCUGGGAACUGCAUUUGAAACUGUCAGGCUGGAGUCUUGUAGAGGGGGGUAGAAUUCCAGGUGUAGCGGUGAAAUGCGUAGAGAUCUGGAGGAAUACCGGUGGCGAAGGCGGCCCCCUGGACAAAGACUGACGCUCAGGUGCGAAAGCGUGGGGAGCAAACAGGAUUAGAUACCCGUGUAGUCCCUGUCUCUUAUAA